rnacentral:lncRNA from 1 species
AUUAGGGACUAUUCAACUGAUGGUGAUGAGGUCUGUCUUAGUCAGGGUUUCUAUUCCUGCACAAACAUCAUGACCAAGAAGCAAGUUGGGGAGGAAGGGGUUUAUUUGGCUUACAUUUCCGUACUGCUGUUGAUCACCAAAGGAUGCAGGACUGGAACUCAAGCAGGUCAGAAAGCAGGAGCUGAUGCAGAGGCCAUGGAGGGAUGUUCUUUACUGGCUUGCUUCUCCUGGCUUGCUCAGCCUGCUCUCUUAUAGAACCCAAGACUACCAGUCCAGAGAUGGUCCCACCCACAAGGGGCCUUUCCCCCUUGAUCACUAAUUGAGAAAAUGCCUUACAGUUGGAUCUCAUGGAGGCAUUUCCUCAACUGAAGCUCCUUUCUCUGUGAUAACCCCAGCUGUGUCAAGUUGACACAAAAUUAGCCAGUAAGGUCCCUGUAAAAACCAGUUAGCACAGAUGAUUUAGGCCUAUAAAGAGUCCAAGAUUGGCCUCUAGCGUCACCAAAAAGAGGGGAGAAUGUUGUAACCCUCAGAUUACUGAUAGUAGAGAGACUUCAGUGUUGUACAGACAGAGGCUCCCAUCCUCCUUUCCCCCUUCCCCCUUCCCCUGAGGCUAUGCAGACAACAGACAGGUGGUUUCUGUGCUGCAUCCUCCUGCAGCAGCCUGGGCUGACUCUCCCUCCCCUAGAGUUACAAUGACAGGGCCCAUAAUAAGGACACAUUCUCUCUGUCUCUGUGUCUGCAAAAACCAAAACUCCUGCUGGAAAGAACUCCAAGUACCUAUCCUUGAGACCUCAGAGAAAAAGCAAGCUCAAGGGAGACCAUGGAAAAAGUAAAAUGUAAGCAGAGGUCAGGUCACAGACAGAUAAAACUGGCCAUAACGUUAGUCGUUGAACAGACACUCAUUACCCACUGCCCACUUCAGGACUAUUACACCUUCUAGUCACCUUUUCUGUAAAUAUUCACAGAAUUCCUAUACUGUAUAUAAACCCAAUAUUUUUGGACUCAGGGUCACUUGCCAGCAUUCAUGCAGUGAGUGCUAGGUGGGCGAACCAAGUUUGACUUGAAAAUAAGUCUUUUUUGUGAGUUUCAGUAGACUUUGCAAUUCUUGGGCUCAUCUGGGUUUCCUGUGGACCCAGAGCAUAACAUACUUAGAUAUUAAGAAUGAGGACAUCAAAAAAAAAAAAAGCAAAACCAACAACAACAACAAAAAACAAAAACAAACAAACAAACAAAAUGAGGACAUCCUGAGCAUUAUAGGCAAGCAGAAGGAACUAGAAAAUACCAUGGUUAGUGAGGUAACUCAGACACAAAAGAACAUUCAUGGUAUGUAUUCACUAACAAAUGGAUAUUAGCCAAAUACCCGAAACCAAACCAAACCAAACAAACA